rnacentral:sRNA from 1 species
UCUGUGGAAAAAUUGUCUUCCAUGAAACCGGACUCUGGUGCCAAAAAGGUUGAGGACCACUGCGCUAUGCCUAUCUGGUGUCCUUACUAAGUUCAGCAUCAAUAUAGUGACCUCCUGGGAGCUGGGGACCACCAGGUUGCCUAAGGGAGGGGUGAACUGGCCCAGGCCAGAAACAGCAGGUCAAAACUCCCAUGUUGAUCCCUAGUGGAACAGCACUUGAGAAUAGCCACUGCACUCUAGCCUUGGCAACAA